UGCUCCAUCCCGUUUCCUCUAAACGGCGUUGAAAAUGAGGCUGGACGGUGUGAAAUGCGGACCCGAGGAAGAGCUCCUACGACUCAGGAGGUGCUCUCACCGCCCACACCCCGCUCCCAGCUCCUCCGGCUCUGGCUCUCCAAGACUUCUUCUCUGGCUCUAGAAGAAAAGCCACGACAAAGAGCCGAUCACCAGUUUCAGGCCAACAUUGCGGGCAAGCAUUUUCAGUGUGUGCACCGUUUCAGGGUUGAACGGAUCCCUCCGAACAAGAGGGUCCCUCUUCCCACCCUGAUCGCCAUCCCAGACCCUCAUUCUAAGGAGCAGAUGACAGCCAUCUCCCUGUCUCGUGUGCCGCCGUGUCUCUAGGACCCAGGACAGGGCCUGGCACCAAGCUGGCACCCAGGGAAGGAAGGAAGAGCAGAUGAAUGAAUGCAUUAGGAACGCACAUCGGGGAAAUUCGUUGGCCAUGGGAAUCCGGAGCCUUACCGGCAUGCUCUGAUCCAGAAAUGCUACUUGUAGGAAUUCAGCUGAGCGUGCACAGACGGCCCGUUGGCAUCGUGUAUCCUGGGGAAGGCACUAGGGAUGAUGUACAUGUCCAGCAUCGGGUUCAACACAAAGCGGAAUGCUUGAUCUUUUCUUCCAGGUCCGCGUUUCCUCCAGGCUUCCCGGUACAGUACUUGGCAAUCCCUACCUGCUCCGCGAUUCCAGUCAGAUCUGGGCAUUGGGAUUUUAUUUCCCUUUUUUUUCUUUUUUAAUGAAAUCCACGCAGAGGGAGACAGACAUUUCCCGGCACCCAAGAGGGUCCCUCGUGUUCCCAUCCCAGUCGGUACCCCCCCUGCGCAGAGGGAACCCCCAUUCCGGCGGCUGCUGGGAUGGUUUUCCUGAGCCCUCAUGUCUCCGCACCCCUGAGCCGCCGGGCACAUGACCGACGAGGACACUAGCCUUGACCUCGGCAGAGGUGAGGGCCUCUAUCUGCCUGGCCUGGGAACCCUGACGUCAGCGGGCUGAGAGGCCGCGGAAGGCGGGUGAAGGAGGGGAGAGCCCGGCAGGGCCUGUGGUUUGAGUGAAGACAGAGAUUGCAUAAAAAUGGAGAGCCUUACCACAGCCUGGGGCCUGUCCCCGCCUGAGUCAUGCUGGAGCCCGAGGGAGGGGAAGGCAAGAGCCCAAAGCCCCUCGGAUCUCAAGCUGGCCCCGGCCUUGGAUGUGACAUGGCUGAAGUCAUCAAGGAUGAGCUCAGGCAGGGGCGCCUGGGGACCGGGGGGACACAGGUCAUUGGAUUCAGAGUCCACGUCCAGAGACCAUCUCGUCUCCAGGUCCUCAACGUAAUGACAUCUACAAAGACCCUGCGGAUGCUUCAUUUUGUAUGUCAACUCGACUGGGCCUGGGGUGCCCAGAUGAAACAUUCUUCCAGGGUGUGUGUGUGUGUGAGGGUGUUUCCAAAGAUUAGCAUUUGAAAUCAGCCGGUCCUGGUGUGGUGGGUGGGGGUCAUCGAUCUGCUGAAGCCUGAACAGAACAAAGGGCAGAGACUGUCCUACCGCUGGGCUGAGGCAUGGGCCCUCAUCUUCUUGCCCCUUGGCCUGGAUCCCACUGUCCUUGUCCCCAGGCAUUUGGACUCAGACGAGUUAUACGGUGAGUUUUCCUUCAUCUCCAGUUUGCGUAUGGUGGAGUGAGGGACUUCUCAGCCUCUAUAAUCAUGUGAACCCAUUCCAUCUCUCUCUCUCUCCAGGAGAGCCCUGACCAGUUACAGACCCUGUUACCAAAUGAGGUCACAUUCACAAACACUGUAGCUUAGGGCUUGGACAUAUCUUUUUGGGGGACACUAUGCAACACGUGACAGUGGGCUGCCCAAGGGCAGAGGCUGAACUGCAGAGGGGGUGGGGCUCCAUAGCCUUGUGGCCCCGGGUUUGAGCCCUCCAACCCUGAUCUCUUUGCUGUGGCGGCUCCCUCCCAGGUCCUUCAGGAACCUUCUCUGAAAACUGGAGGUAAUGGUUUUAUGAGUGCUUCCUCCAAGGCGCUGUGUUGAGACCCCUCACUGGUUAUAUAACCAAGUGAGUCACUCAACUGCUCUGAAUCUGAGUUUUCUCAUCUGUAAAGUGGCAAUAAUCACACUAUCCAUCUCAACAGGAUGUCGGAGAUUAAGUUUACAUUUCCCCAGGCUUUCCCUGUGCCCCUCGUGAAUGUUAUAUGAUGUUUUCUUUUUCUUCUUUUCUUUUAAAGUAAUCUCUCCACCCAACACUGGGCUCGAACUCAGGACCCCC